CACAGAGCCCAGUUAAACUUGAAUUUUAGAUAAACAAGAAAUAAUUUUUAGUUUAAGUAUACCUCAUGCAAUAUUUGGGACAUACUUAUACUAAAAAAUCAUUCCUUGUUUAUUUGAAAUUCAAGUUUAACUGGGCAUCCUAUA
ensembl:miRNA